GCGGUCGGUUCCCAAACGCUGUCGGCGUCAGGGUUCAUUCAGACGCUCUUUACUCUCUUCCUCCUUUGGGCCCCUCCCUCGUUUUCUUGAAAUUGAACAUAUUAUUGGACACCAGUGGAGCACGAAAAUGACUUUCCAUGACAUUAAUUAAGGCAUGUUGGGAAGAUACUUGAACAAUCCUGGGAGUUAACAUUGGAAAGCUGCUAAGAAGGUCCGGUCCUUAGGUAUUUGCAAGGAACUAAGGACUUAAUGUUGACAUAUCAACACACCAAUAUACUUGAUGUAGUUAGGUUUUGUGAUGCUAAUUUUGCUGGCUGCAUAGAUGGUAAGAAAUCCACUACGGGCUAUAUUUUUGUGAUGACAAGAUAAGUUGUAUCUUGGAAAAAUAUCAAGCAGACACUUACAACAUCCUCAACUAUGGAGACAAAGUAUGUGACAUGUUAUGAGGCUUGUUGUCAUGCUAUAUGGAUGCGAAAUUUUAUUUCAGCUUUGGGAAUUGUUGACUCCAUUUCUAGACCGUUGAAAUUAUUUUGUGAUAAUUCUGCAGCUAUUGCUUUCUCUAAGAACACUAGGAGCACUUCUCGCUCCAAGCAUAUUGAUGUAAAGUUCUAUUUUGUUAAAGAGAAAGUGACAAAGUCUCUUAUUGAUAUUGAGCACAUGCCAACAAAAGGUAUGUUGGCGGAUCCACUAACAAAAGACUUACCCAUAGUUGUGUUUCAUGAUCAUGUAUCUUAAAUGGGGUUGGUGGGAGCCUAGGUUGCAUUAAGUUAGUGUGAGACAUUUUUGGUAUUAUAAUAUUUUGCUAUUGUUGGAAGGAUUGUUAUUUUGUAUAUUUCCCUGUGAAUCAAGCAAUGAAGCAUGUAUGAUUGGUUUUGA